rnacentral:rRNA from 1 species
UACGUAGGGGGCAAGCGUUGUCCGGAAUCAUUGGGCGUAAAGCGCGCGUAGGCGGCCCGGUAAGUCCGUUGUGAAAGUCAAAGGCUCAACCUUUGAACGCCGAUGGAUACUGCCGGGCUAGAGUCCGGAAGAGGCGAGUGGAAUUCCCGGUGUAGCGGUGAAAUGCGUAGAGAUCGGGAGGAACACCCGUGGCGAAGGCGGCCAUCUGGACCAGCACUGACGCUGAGGCACGAAAGCGUGGGGAGCAAACAGG